rnacentral:tRNA from 1 species
GGGGAUUUAGCUCAGUGGUAGAGCACUUGCCUAGCAAGCGAAAGAUCCUGGGUUCGGUCCCCAGUUCCG